rnacentral:rRNA from 1 species
AACGCACCUUGCGCUCCUUGGUAUUCCGAGGAGCAUGCCUGUUUGAGUGUCAUUAAAUUCUCAACCUUUCCAGAUCUUUAUUAGUCUGGUCAGGCUUGGAUGUGGGGGUUUGCAGGCUUUUAUGAGAUCUGCUCUCCUUAAAUGCAUUAGUGGAACUUUUGUGGACCGUCUAUUGGUGUGAUAAUUAUCUACACCGUAGAUGUAAAACAGUUGUAUAAAGUUUAGCUUCUAACUGUCCAUUGACUUGGACAAUUUUGACAAUUUGACCUCAAAUCAGGUAGGACUACCCGCUGAACUUAA